AUUGAACGCUGGCGGCAGGCCUAACACAUGCAAGUCGAACGAGUGGCGGACGGGUGAGUAAUGUCUGGGCAACUGCCUGAUGGAGGAGGAUAACUACUGGAAACGGUAGCUAAUACCGCAUACCAGCGGAUGUGCCCAGAUGGGAUUAGCUAGUAGGUGGGGUAAAGGCUCACCUAGGCGACGAUCCCUAGCUGGUCUGAGAGGAUGAACAGCCACACUGGAACUGAGACACGGUCCAGACUCCUACGGGAGGCAGCAGUGGGGAAUAUUGCACAAUGGGCGCAAGCCUGAUGCAGCCAUGCCGCGUGUAUGAAGAAGGCCUUCGGGUUGUAAAGUACUUUCAGUUGGGAGGCGUUACCCGCAGAAGAAGCACCGGCUAACUCCGUGCCAGCCGCCGCGGUAAUUC
rnacentral:rRNA from 1 species